rnacentral:rRNA from 1 species
GACGAACGCUGGCGGCGUGCUUAACACAUGCAAGUCGAACGGUAAGGCCCUUCGGGGUACACGAGUGGCGAACGGGUGAGUAACACGUGGGUGAUCUGCCCUGCACUUCGGGAUAAGCCUGGGAAACUGGGUCUAAUACCGGAUAGGACCAUGCGCUGCACGGUGUGGGGUGGAAAGCUUUUGCGGUGUGGGAAGGGCCCGCGGCCUAUCAGCUUGUUGGUGGGGUACUGGCCUACCAAGGCGACGACGGGUAGCCGGCCUGAGAGGGUGACCGGCCACACUGGGACUGAGAUACGGCCCAGACUCCUACGGGAGGCAGCAGUGGGGAAUAUUGCACAAUGGGCGCAAGCCUGAUGCAGCGACGCCGCGUGAGGGAUGACGGCCUUCGGGUUGUAAACCUGUUUCAGUAGGGACGAAGCGCAAGUGACGGUACCUACAGAAGAAGGACCGGCCAACUACGUGCCAGCCGCCGCAGUAA